GAUGAAGAACUUAGUGAAAUGCGAUAAGUAAUGUGAAUUGCAGAAUUCAGUGAAUCAUCGAAUCUUUGAACGCACCUUGCGCCCUUUGGCUAUUCCGAAGGGCAUGCCUGUUUGAGUAUCAUGAACACCUCAACCCUCAUGGUUUGCCAUGACGGGCUUGGACUUUGGGGGUCUUGCUGGAUUGUAGUCAGCUCCCCUUAAACAAAUCAGCUUGCCAGUGUUUGGUGGCAUCACAGGUGUGAUAACUAUCUAUGCUUGUGGUUUUACAUCAGAUAACCUUCAGUGAUGGAGGUUCACUGGAGCUCAUAAAGGUGUCUCUCCUCUGUGAGGACAGCUCUUUGAAUGUUUGAUCUCAAAUCAGGCAGGACUACCCGCUGAACUUAAGCAUAUCAAUAAGCGGAGGA
rnacentral:misc_RNA from 1 species